GGGGUUUUGGUUCUUUCAUUGGUUUGGUUUAGGAGUAUUAUGAAUCGUGCACACCUCUAUAACAUAUCCUACAUUUUUGAGGGUCAAUAUUGUUGAGCAUUCGUGUACGCUGUGGUUGGUCUUUCUCUCUCUCUCUCUCUCGUACUCGACCUCUCUCUUACCCUGCCUCUCACUCAGGGUGGUUGGGUUUGAUGAAUGGGUAAUCAUAAUUUAAUACCAAUCAUGGUUUGAAUUAUUAUUGUAGUGGU
rnacentral:misc_RNA from 1 species